rnacentral:lncRNA from 1 species
UGGGAGUAUUGAGUCGGAGAUUAAUGUUUCAAAAAGACUGGCACAUCCUAUGUACACACUCAACGGAGAGGGUGGCUGAUCUCACUAGCCACUUGUGUGGGGAUACUAAUAUAAGGAUAUGAAUGCUCAUUAGAAAAUGAGUUCACUGAAUGGACUCACCGAUAGAGAACAUCUUAUGAAAGCCUUACUUGCAUGUCAAAGAUGGUUUUCUAAGUGAGAGUUGUACACGUGAUCG